CAUGAAUCAUGUGACGGUGGCUUGAGGAGGAACCUGUCUUUAAAGCUGUCCCUGAAGUGACAGCGGAGAGAACCAGGCAGCCCAGAAACCCCAGGACCUAAAGCGAUUCUUGUAUAAAAAGUUACCAAGUGUUGAAGGGCUCCAUGCCAUUGUUGUGUCAGAUAGAGAUGGAGUACCUGUUAUUAAAGGUGGUUCAAUUUAAUCGUUUACCUUUGGUGGUGAGUUUCAUAGCCAGCAGCAGUGCCAAUACAGGACUAAUUGUCAGCCUAGAAAAGGAACUUGCUCCAUUGUUUGAAGAACUGAGACAAGUUGUGGAAGUUUCUUAAUCUGACAGUGGUUUCAGUGUGUACCUUAUCUUCAUUAUAACAACACAAUAUCAAUCCAGCAAUCUUUAGACUACAAUAAUACUUUUAUCCAUGUGCUCAAGAAAGGGCCCCUUUUUCCAACUUAUACUAAAGAGCUAGCAUAUAGAUGUAAUUUAUAGAUAGAUCAGUUGCUAUAUUUUCUGGUGUAGGGUCUUUCUUAUUUAGUGAGAUCUAGGGAUACCACAGAAAUGGUUCAGUCUAUCACAGCUCCCAUGGAGUUAGUCUGGUCACCAGAUAUGGAUGAGAGAUUCUAUUCAGUGGAUCAGAAUCAAACUGGUACAUUGAUCCACUUGAGCCGUUAAGUGCUGCCAAUUGUACAAUAUGCCCAGGCUUGCAGAAUAAAGCCAACUUUUUAUUGUGAAUAAUAAUAAGGACAUAUUUUUCUUCAGAUUAUGUUUUAUUUCUUUGCAUUGAGUGAGGAACAUAAAAUGGCUUGGUAAAAGUAAUAAAAUCAGUACAAUC
rnacentral:lncRNA from 1 species